rnacentral:tRNA from 1 species
GAUAAAGAAAGGAAUUAAACCAAUGUGGGCGGAACUACAGUCCGCCGCUUACCAUUCAGCCACUUU